rnacentral:rRNA from 1 species
GUAGUUGACUCCGUGGCUACGAGGACAACGCUGGCGGCGUGCCUAACACAUGCAAGUCGAGCGAUGAAGUUUCUUCGGAAACGGAAUAGCGGCGGACGGGUGAGUAACACGUGGGUAACCUGUCUUAUAGAGGGGGAUAGCCUUCCGAAAGGAAGAUUAAUACCGCAUAAAGUUGUUGAUUCGCAUGGAUUAAUAACCAAAGGAGCAAUCCGCUAUAAGAUGGACCCGCGGCGCAUUAGCUAGUUGGUGAGGUAGAGGCUCACCAAGGCGACGAUGCGUAGCCGACCUGAGAGGGUGAUCGGCCACAUUGGGACUGAGACACGGCCCAGACUCCUACGGGAGGCAGCAGUGGGGAAUAUUGCACAAUGGGGGAAACCCUGAUGCAGCAACGCCGCGUGAGUGAUGAAGGCCUUCGGGUUGUAAAGCUCUGUCUUUAGGGACGAUAAUGACGGUACCUAAGGAGGAAGCCACGGCUAACUACGUG